GCCUCAGUGGUGUAGUGGUCAAGACGCUCGUCUGGUAAUCGGGAGGGCGUGGGUUCAAUCCCAUCAGAGGUA
rfam:Asian citrus Psyllid, Diaphorina citri - Florida Strain, whole genome shotgun sequence.